UAUGGUUCCUGUUCAUCUGUUUGGAGUGCUAUAUUGGAUGCCGUUCGGGAGUUUGGAGCAUUCACUUAUUGGCGGUUCGUGUGUUUGGUGUUCUGCAGUAGCUGUGCCUUCAUCUCUGGAAAGGGGGCCGAUCGCCUAAACAGUUUUUACCCUUUGUGUGCAAAACGGUCCGUUACACCUCUCUGGCAAUUUGGCUUCUUGGAAUGGAGCAGGAUAAAGCCAUUGCUUGACCAGGCUUGGUGGUAUGUUGCACCUGGCUGACUCUAUUUCGCUUCGACUUGGGAGCCUCCAU